GGCAAUUACGAUUCAAAUUAAACGGUUGACGAUCAAACAAGUGGGCAACGACAGCCACAUUACAGCGUUUCAUGUGACCGCUGCCAACAACCACUGCUUUAUGACUCCUUAGUCUGAACUCUGGAGAAUCGCCAAAACAAGAACGUCUUCAGAUGCUCAUGCUUUCUAUUGCGACC